rnacentral:rRNA from 1 species
UACGUAGGGUGCAAGCGUUGUCCGGAAUUAUUGGGCGUAAAGAGCUCGUAGGUGGUCCGUUAAGUUCGUUGUGAAAUCCCUGGGCUCAACCCAGGAAAUGCUUCGAAUACUGGCGGACUUGAGGCUAGUAGAGGUCACUGGAACUGACGGUGGAGCGGUGAAAUGCGUAGAUAUCGUCAGGAACGCCGAUGGUGAAGACAGGUGACUGGGCUAGUUCUGACACUGAGGCACGAAAGCGUGGGGAGCGAACAGG